UCUCUCUCUCUCUCUUUCUCUCAAUCAAUCCCAGCAUAAAAGCUCUUUCACCACACCAAGCACACUUAUUUCUUGCACCAAAGAACCCCAUCCAUCACAAGUUAAAGCAAAGAAGAAAAGAAACCCACUUUCUAUAGUAUCUAUCAUUGCAAUCAUAUCCAACGACAAAAUAAAAGCGCCUGUAGUUUUUGACACUUGUUGCUCAUCGCAUCAACGAGUUCCAUCCAUCCUUCCAAAUUUAACCCAUAAAAGAGCAAAGAGAAACGGAAAGAAAAAGAAAAAGAGAUCAUAUGGAUAUUGAAUCCGUCAAGUGUGAGUGUUGUGGAUUGAAAGAGGAUUGCACCCAAGACUAUAUUAGUGAGGUGAAGGCGAAAUUCGAUGGGAAAUGGCUAUGUGGGUUGUGCUCAGAAGCUGUUAGAGAUGAAGUUAGCAGAGGUAAAAAGCAGUUUGGAAUGGAAGAAGCAGUCAGAGCUCACAUGUCAUUUUGUGGUAAAUUCAAUUCCAAUCCAGCAGUUCGAGUUGCUGAUGGGAUGAGGCAGAUGCUGAGAAGACGAUCAGGAGUCUUGUCUUCUUCACCAUCUUCUUCUAAGUAGUACGCUAGAUCGGCAAGCACAAAACUCUAAUGAUCAUUGGGAGCGAUCUUCAUCGCCUACAAUAAUAUGGAUGGCAAUUGCUUUUCUUGCCCAAGUAUUAUCUUGUCUUGUAAUGUACAGGGAUUGUCAUUUCAAAGGAGGCUUCAUCUUAGUUUUGCUUCAUUUCACAUUUGGUAUGCUUUUCUUCUCCAUUUCUUGGCUAAAGAGAAAAAAUUUUAAGGGAAAAUCACAGCUUCAUAUACAUAAACUAGUCAAGUGCCAUUCAUUGAAAAAAAAGCUUCAACCCUUAAUGCAUAAACCUCAG
rnacentral:misc_RNA from 1 species